CUGCAGCUAAUUAAGCCAACUGAGUUCCUUUCCUCACAGGGGCCCAAUGUGCAAUGGCUGCAAAGAGCCGCUUCCUUGUAGUAUGUAUGCUGCCCGUUUCUUGUAUGGGUUACUCUAAAGGACCUUGGAGACAGGC
ensembl:snoRNA SNORA70 Small nucleolar RNA SNORA70